rnacentral:rRNA from 1 species
AUUGAACGCUGGCGGCAGGCUUAACACAUGCAAGUCGAGCGGGGUGAUGGUGCUUGCACUAUCACUUAGCGGCGGACGGGUGAGUAAUGCUUAGGAAUCUGCCUAUUAGUGGGGGACAACAUUUCGAAAGGAAUGCUAAUACCGCAUACGUCCUACGGGAGAAAGCAGGGGAUCUUCGGACCUUGCGCUAAUAGAUGAGCCUAAGUCGGAUUAGCUAGUUGGUGGGGUAAAGGCCUACCAAGGCGACGAUCUGUAGUGGGUCUGAGAGGAUGAUCCGCCACACUGGGACUGGAACACGGCCCAGACUCCUACGGGAGGCAGCAGUGGGGAAUAUGGGACAAUGGGCGGAAGCCUGAUCCAGCCAUGCCGCGUGUGUGAAGAAGGCCUUAUGGUUGUAAAGCACUUUAAGCGAGGAGGAGGCUACUUUAGUUAAUACCUAGAGAUAGUGGGCGUUACUCGCAGAAUAAGCACCGGCUAACUCUGUGCCAGCAGCCGCCGUAA